GAGCGGCGGACGGGUGAGUAAUGCCUAGAGAAAUUGCCCUGAUGUGGGGGAUAACCAUUGGAAACGAUGGCUAAUACCGCAUAAUGCCUACGGGCCAAAGAGGGGGACCUUCGGGCCUCUCGCGUCAGGAUAUGCCUAGGUGGGAUUAGCUAGUUGGUGAGGUAAUGGCUCACCAAGGCGACUAUCCCUAGCUGGUCUGAGAGGAUGAUCAGCCACACUGGAACUGAGACACGGUCCAGACUCCUACGGGAGGCAGCAGUGGGGAAUAUUGCACAAUGGGCGCAAGCCUGAUGCAGCCAUGCCGCGUGUGUGAAGAAGGCCUUCGGGUUGUAAAGCACUUUCAGUCGUGAGGAAGGUGGUAGUGUUAAUAGCACUAUCAUUUGACGUUAGCGACAGAAGAAGCACCGGCUAACUCCGUGCCAGCAGCCGCGGUAAUACGGAGGGUGCGAGCGUUAAUCGGAAUUACUGGGCGUAAAGCGCAUGCACGUGGUUUGUUAAGUCAGAUGUGAAAGCCCGGGGCUCAACCUCGGAAUAGCAUUUGAAACUGGCAGACUAGAGUACUGUAGAGGGGGGUAGAAUUUCAGGUGUAGCGGUGAAAUGCGUAGAGAUCUGAAGGAAUACCGGUGGCGAAGGCGGCCCCCUGGACAGAUACUGACACUCAGAUGCGAAAGCGUGGGGAGCAAACAGGAUUAGAUACCCUGGUAGUCCACGCCGUAAACGAUGUCUACUUGGAGGUUGUGGCCUUGAGCCGUGGCUUUCGGAGCUAACGCGUUAAGUAGACCGCCUGGGGAGUACGGUCGCAAGAUUAAAACUCAAAUGAAUUGACGGGGGCCCGCACAAGCGGUGGAGCAUGUGGUUUAAUUCGAUGCAACGCGAAGAACCUUACCUACUCUUGACAUCCAGAGAACUUUCCAGAGAUGGAUUGGUGCCUUCGGGAACUCUGAGACAGGUGCUGCAUGGCUGUCGUCAGCUCGUGUUGUGAAAUGUUGGGUUAAGUCCCGCAACGAGCGCAACCCUUAUCCUUGUUUGCCAGCGAGUAAUGUCGGGAACUCCAGGGAGACUGCCGGUGAUAAACCGGAGGAAGGUGGGGACGACGUCAAGUCAUCAUGGCCCUUACGAGUAGGGCUACACACGUGCUACAAUGGCGCAUACAGAGGGCAGCAAGCUAGCGAUAGUGAGCGAAUCCCAAAAAGUGCGUCGUAGUCCGGAUUGGAGUCUGCAACUCGACUCCAUGAAGUCGGAAUCGCUAGUAAUCGUGGAUCAGAAUGCCACGGUGAAUACGUUCCCGGGCCUUGUACACACCGCCCGUCACACCAUGGGAGUGGG
rnacentral:rRNA from 1 species